AAAUUGAAGAGUUUGAUCAUGGCUCAGAUUGAACGCUGGCGGCAGGCCUAACACAUGCAAGUCGAGCGGUAGCACAGAGAGCUUGCUCUCGGGUGACGAGCGGCGGACGGGUGAGUAAUGUCUGGGAAACUGCCUGAUGGAGGGGGAUAACUACUGGAAACGGUAGCUAAUACCGCAUAACGUCGCAAGACCAAAGUGGGGGACCUUCGGGCCUCAUGCCAUCAGAUGUGCCCAGAUGGGAUUAGCUAGUAGGUGGGGUAACGGCUCACCUAGGCGACGAUCCCUAGCUGGUCUGAGAGGAUGACCAGCCACACUGGAACUGAGACACGGUCCAGACUCCUACGGGAGGCAGCAGUGGGGAAUAUUGCACAAUGGGCGCAAGCCUGAUGCAGCCAUGCCGCGUGUGUGAAGAAGGCCUUCGGGUUGUAAAGCACUUUCAGCGGGGAGGAAGGCGUUGAGGUUAAUAACCUUGUCGAUUGACGUUACCCGCAGAAGAAGCACCGGCUAACUCCGUGCCAGCAGCCGCGGUAAUACGGAGGGUGCAAGCGUUAAUCGGAAUUACUGGGCGUAAAGCGCACGCAGGCGGUCUGUCAAGUCGGAUGUGAAAUCCCCGGGCUCAACCUGGGAACUGCAUUCGAAACUGGCAGGCUAGAGUCUUGUAGAGGGGGGUAGAAUUCCAGGUGUAGCGGUGAAAUGCGUAGAGAUCUGGAGGAAUACCGGUGGCGAAGGCGGCCCCCUGGACAAAGACUGACGCUCAGGUGCGAAAGCGUGGGGAGCAAACAGGAUUAGAUACCCUGGUAGUCCACGCCGUAAACGAUGUCGAUUUGGAGGUUGUGCCCUUGAGGCGUGGCUUCCGGAGCUAACGCGUUAAAUCGACCGCCUGGGGAGUACGGCCGCAAGGUUAAAACUCAAAUGAAUUGACGGGGGCCCGCACAAGCGGUGGAGCAUGUGGUUUAAUUCGAUGCAACGCGAAGAACCUUACCUGGUCUUGACAUCCACAGAACUUUCCAGAGAUGGAUUGGUGCCUUCGGGAACUGUGAGACAGGUGCUGCAUGGCUGUCGUCAGCUCGUGUUGUGAAAUGUUGGGUUAAGUCCCGCAACGAGCGCAACCCUUAUCCUUUGUUGCCAGCGGUUAGGCCGGGAACUCAAAGGAGACUGCCAGUGAUAAACUGGAGGAAGGUGGGGAUGACGUCAAGUCAUCAUGGCCCUUACGACCAGGGCUACACACGUGCUACAAUGGCAUAUACAAAGAGAAGCGACCUCGCGAGAGCAAGCGGACCUCAUAAAGUAUGUCGUAGUCCGGAUUGGAGUCUGCAACUCGACUCCAUGAAGUCGGAAUCGCUAGUAAUCGUAGAUCAGAAUGCUACGGUGAAUACGUUCCCGGGCCUUGUACACACCGCCCGUCACACCAUGGGAGUGGGUUGCAAAAGAAGUAGGUAGCUUAACCUUCGGGAGGGCGCUUACCACUUUGUGAUUCAUGACUGGGGUGAAGUCGUAACAAGGUAACCGUAGGGGAACCUGCGGUUGGAUCACCUCCUUACCUUAAAGAA
rnacentral:rRNA from 1 species